CCUAGGUCUCAUCUCCCUCCCAGCCUGAUCUUGCUGGAUCUCAGAAACUAAGUAGGGCUGGGCCUGGUUAGCACUGGGUCGGGAGAGACAGCUGCUGCUAUGU
rnacentral:rRNA from 1 species